rnacentral:rRNA from 1 species
UACAGAGGUCUCAAGCGUUGUUCGGAUUCAUUGGGCGUAAAGGGUGCGUAGGUGGCGCGCUAAGUCAGGUGUGAAAUUUUGGAGCUUAACUCCGAAACUGCAUUUGAUACUGGCGUGCUUGAGGACUGGAGAGGAGACUGGAAUUCACGGUGUAGCAGUGAAAUGCGUAGAUAUCGUGAGGAAGACCAGUGGCGAAGGCGGGUCUCUGGACAGUUCCUGACACUGAGGCACGAAGGCCAGGGGAGCAAACGGG